GAUGAACGCUGGCGGCGUGCCUAAUACAUGCAAGUCGAGCGAACAGACGAGGAGCUUGCUCCUCUGACGUUAGCGGCGGACGGGUGAGUAACACGUGGAUAACCUACCUAUAAGACUGGGAUAACUUCGGGAAACCGGAGCUAAUACCGGAUAACAUGUUGAACCGCAUGGUUCAACAGUGAAAGACGGUCUUGUUGUCACUUAUAGAUGGAUCCGCGCCGCAUUAGCUAGUUGGUAAGGUAACGGCUUACCAAGGCAACGAUGCGUAGCCGACCUGAGAGGGUGAUCGGCCACACUGGAACUGAGACACGGUCCAGACUCCUACGGGAGGCAGCAGUAGGGAAUCUUCCGCAAUGGGCGAAAGCCUGACGGAGCAACGCCGCGUGAGUGAAGAAGGUCUUCGGAUCGUAAAACUCUGUUAUUAGGGAAGAACAAAUGUGUAAGUAACUAUGCACGUCUUGACGGUACCUAAUCAGAAAGCCACGGCUAACUACGUG
rnacentral:rRNA from 1 species